AACGGAGCGAAAGCGACGUUCAACCGCAAAACAAGCAGAGGGGGCUUAGUGGUGGGGUGACUGCGUACCUUUUGUAUAAUGGGUCAGCGACUUAUAUUCUGUAGCAAGGUUAACCGAAUAGGGGAGCCGGAGGGAAACCGAGUCUUAAUUGGGCGUUAAGUUGCAGGGUAUAGACCCGAAACCCGGUGAUCUAGCCAUGGGCAGGUUGAAGGUUGGGUAACACUAACUGGAGGACCGAACCGACUAAUGUUGAAAAAUUAGCGGAUGACCUGUGGCUGGGGGUGAAAGGCCAAUCAAACCGGGAGAUAGCUGGUUCUCCCCGAAAGCUAUUUAGGUAGCGCCUCGUGAAUUCAUCUCCGGGGGUAGAGCACUGUUUCGGCUAGGGGGCCAUCCCGGCUUACCAACCCGAUGCAAACUGCGAAUACCGGAGAAUGUUAUCACGGGAGACACACGGCGGGUGCUAACGUCCGUCGUGAAGAGGGAAACAACCCAGACCGCCAGCUAAGGUCCCAAAGUCAUGGUUAAGUGGGAAACGAUGUGGGAAGGCCCAGACAGCCAGGAUGUUGGCUUAGAAGCAGCCAUCAUUUAAAGAAAGCGUAAUAGCUCACUGGUCGAGUCGGCCUGCGCGGAAGAUGUAACGGGGCUAAACCAUGCACCGAAGCUGCGGCAGCGAACGUAUCACCCAAGACAACUUUACGGAGUUGACGAUUGACGGAGCGAAGCGACGUCAAAGCGUUCAUUAAAGUCGAGUUGGCUUAGGGAUACGUUCGUUGGGUAGGGGAGCGUUCUGUAAGCCUGUGAAGGUGUGUCGUGAGGCAUGCUGGAGGUAUCAGAAGUGCGAAUGCUGACAUAAGUAACGAUAAAGCGGGUGAAAAGCCCGCUCGCCGGAAGACCAAGGGUUCCUGUCCAACGUUAAUCGGGGCAGGGUGAGUCGACCCCUAAGGCGAGGCCGAAAGGCGUAGUCGAUGGGAAACGGGUUAAUAUUCCCGUACUUGGUGUUACUGCGAAGGGGGGACGGAGAAGGCUAUGUUGGCCGGGCGACGGUUGUCCCGGUUUAAGCGUGUAGGUGUGUGUUCCAGGUAAAUCCGGUU
rnacentral:rRNA from 1 species